rnacentral:rRNA from 1 species
UGAGGAACAUGACCUUCGGCGGGGGAGUAGCCGGCCCAACGGCCGGGUAAUACCGCGUACGACCACAUGGGGACAUCCCUGAGUGGUGAAAGCAGCAAUGCGCCGAUGGAGUGCCUCGCGGCCUAUCAGCUAGUUGGUGAGGUAACGGCUCACCAAGGCGACGACGGGUAGCUGGUCUGAGAGGAUGGCCAGCCACAUUGGGACUGAGAUACCGGCCCAGACCUNUACCGGGGAGG